rnacentral:rRNA from 1 species
GACGAACGCUGGCGGCGUGCCUAAUACAUGCAAGUAGAACGCAGUUGCGAACGGGUGAGUAACGCGUAGGUAACUGACUCAUGGCGGGGGAUAACUAUUGGAAACGAUAGAUAAUACCGCAUACUGUGAGAUGGACCUGCGUUGUAUUAGCUAGUUGGUGCGGUAAAGGCCCACCAAGGCCACGAUGCAUAGCCGACCUAAGCGGGUGUUCGGCCACAAUGGGACUUAGACACGGCCCAGACUCCUACGGGAGGCAGCAGUAGGGAAUCUUCGGCAAUGGACGAAAGUCUGACCUAGCAACGCCGCGUGAGGGAAGAAGGUUUUCGGAUCGUAAAGCUCUGUUGUUAGAGAAGCGGUACCAAACCAGAAAGGGACGGCUAACUACGUGCCAGCAGCCGCGGUAAUAC